rnacentral:rRNA from 1 species
AGGGGGCGAGCGUUGUUCGGAUUUACUGGGCGUAAAGGGCGCGCAGGCGGCUCAUUUUGUCAGGCGUGAAAGCCCCGGGCUUAACCUGGGAACUGCGUUUGAUACGGAUGGGCUGGAGUUCGGGAGAGGAGAGCGGAAUUCCCAGUGUAGAGGUGAAAUUCGUAGAUAUUGGGAAGAACACCGGUGGCGAAGGCGGCUCUCUGGACCGAGACUGACGCUGAGGCGCGAAAGCGUGGGGAGCAAACAGGAUUAGAUACCCUGGUAGUCCACGCUGUAAACGAUGUGUGCUAGACGUUGGGGAGCCCAGCUCUUCGGUGUCGCAGCUAACGCGGUAAGCACACCGCCUGGGGAGUACGGCCGCAAGGUUA